ACCCAGACAAUUAGUAGAGCAUGAGACUCUUAAUCUCAGGGUUGUGGGUUCAAGUCCCACAUUGGGCA